rnacentral:rRNA from 1 species
AGAACGAACGCUGGCGGCAGGCUUAACACAUGCAAGUCGAACGGUUGUAGCAAUACAGCAGUGGCAGACGGGUGAGUAACACGUGGGAACCUUCCUAGGGGUACGGAACAACUCAGGGAAACUUGAGCUAAUACCGUAUACGUCCGUGAGGAGAAAGAUUUAUCGCCCCUAGACGGGCCCGCGUAGGAUUAGGUAGUUGGUGAGGUAACGGCUCACCAAGCCUACGAUCCUUAGCUGAUCUGAGAGGAUGAUCAGCCACACUGGGACUGAGACACGGCCCAGACCUCCUACGGGAGCAGCAGGUGGGGAAUCUGGACAAUGGGCGCAAGCCUGAUCCAGCCAUCGCCGCGUGAGUGAAGAAGGUCCUUGGGUUAGUAAAGUCUUACGUUUUAACCGAGGGUACGAUAAGUGGACGGUACC